AUUGAACGCUGGCGGCAUGCCUUACACAUGCAAGUCGAACGGCAGCAUGGAGAGCUUGCUCUCUGAUGGCGAGUGGCGAACGGGUGAGUAAUGCAUCGGAACGUACCGUGUAAUGGGGGAUAACGUAGCGAAAGUUACGCUAAUACCGCAUACGACCUGAGGGUGAAAGCAGGGGAUCGCAAGACCUUGCGUUAUACGAGCGGCCGAUGUCAGAUUAGCUAGUUGGUGAGGUAAAGGCUCACCAAGGCGACGAUCUGUUGCGGGUCUGAGAGGAUGAUCCGCCACACUGGGACUGCGACACCGCCCAGACUCCUACGGGAGGCAGCAGUGGGGAAUUUUGGACAAUGGGGGCAACCCUGAUCCAGCCAUGCCGCGUGAGUGAAGAAGGCCUUCGGGUUGUAAAGCUCUUUCGGCCGGGAAGAAAUCGCACAGGCUAAUACUCUGUGUGGAUGACAGUACCGGCAUAAGAAGCACCGGCUAACUACGUGCCAGCCGCCGCAGUAA
rnacentral:rRNA from 1 species